GUCUGACUGUCAUUUCCUUCUCAGUGUUUUCAUCCAUCUUCAGUUCUGGGGCCUUCCUGUGCCUUCUGAUGGUGCUGAGCCCUGGGGACAGCAAGGAAAGCCUUCUCUGAUCUCCCAGUCUGCUUUUAGAAGGUGCAGAAUGAUGGAAUAAUCCGACUGGGCUGGUUUUGCCAAGGUUUGUUUCUCAUCUUUCACUCAGUACAGGGGCAGAUGAUGUCAUUCUCAUUUCAUGGUCAAAGACUCCAAAACUCAGAGAGGCUGCGACCUGUGACUGACAGCUGCUCUACACCCGGGGCCAAGACUCCUAGCACAGUGCUCAUUCUGCUCACCCCUCUCACCUCCUGCAAGCCCCACGUGACCCGCUGUGUGAUGGUGUCAACAUUUCUUCCUGCCUCCUUGUCUAUGCACUAAAUUAGGGGAGGAGGGAGAGGCUAAGGUUCUCCGCUCUGUUAUUCUUGGACCAAGUCUUUGGUCAGAGGGAGGCAGUGCUUGAUAAAUGUUAAAAUGCCUCAUCAGUUCAGCCCAAUGCCCUAAGCCAGGGGAGAAGAGGCUACAGCAUGUUGUUUCUGCUUGAAAGAGGGUAAUACUGAGUGCAAGUCACCAAAGGGCUGCCUCUAAUCCCCAUGCAUGCACGUAACCAGUGCCCCAACCCAG
ensembl:lncRNA